GAAUUUUUCAAGAGAGGGAGGGGUAUAUGGAGUUAAUCUCCCACUUUAUUGGUUUCUCUUCAAUUUUCUCUCCGUCGGCUUACCUCUCUCUCUUAUCUCUGCUUCGAUGUUCAUCUAUAGAAAAAAAAGGGAUUGAAGGAUCAAAUAUAUACUGAAAGCUACGAUUUUAUGUUUAUCAACAUCAUUCACUCAACGAUUUGCCAUGUCAAUUGAUCUAUUUUAUCAAAGAUCUCUUGUCACCAUGGGUAGAUCGGCCAUCUCGUUUCGACUUUCAAGACAUGCAAUCGAAAAGUCAAAAUCCACAUUGAUAGAAGACAAUCACCUCCAUGAAGACAGCUUCUCGUGCUAGAAAGAGUGAUGCAGGGUACGACUUGACCCACUUGAUUUUGGGAGGCAUAACUGAGGCUACUUUUCGGCUUCAGAAAAUACCACAACAUGCAGUGGUGGCAGUGUAGAAUUUUCCUACGGUUAAAGAUGCUGCAGACGUGGUGAUUGCUACUAUGAUGUCUGGAAUACAUAGGGACAGGGGACAGAAGGGAUAUAUAGAAAAGUUCAGGCAGGGACAUGGUGAAGGAGAGAGAGAUGAGAAUCAGUUGUAACAUCACAUAGCAAAGGGAAGGCACACUAAUCAUUUAGUAAAUGUUAAAUGUAUGUGUUCUUUGUUAGAUAUGAUUGUCUCAUAAGUUUUAUAAAUUCGAUCAUCAUUUAGUACAAUCAGCAUAUGAUUAUAUUAAAAUUUUUAAAUGUGUCCCAUGAUAUUGGACAUGGACAGAACCAAGUACCAGUAAUCAAGAUACAAAAGAAGACAACAACCUUGACAUGACAACAGACUUAUUAAACGACCAAAAUCAUUAAUCUGAUGCGAUGAACGAAGAUAGUAUCACAAUUUAAUUAGAUUUUUUAACAAUGAUAUACAACGAUACAAAGGAAAGGAACUAUUGUAUUUCGAUGGUUUAGUAAUGAUUUGUAAUAGUAUGGUUUAGUAAUAAGACAAAACUUCUGUGUGUUAGUAAUUGUAUACAACGAUAUGUAGGAAAUUGCUGUCAUUUGGUUUGGUAAUGGUUUUGUAAUUUACGGUUUAAUAAUAAGGCACACGUGUGUAUCGGUUUAGUAAAGAAGCAAAAUAUUGUGUUUAAA